rnacentral:rRNA from 1 species
GACGAACGCUGGCGGCGUGCUUAACACAUGCAAGUCGAACGGAAAGGCCCUGCUUUUGUGGGGUGCUCGAGUGGCGAACGGGUGAGUAACACGUGAGUAACCUGCCCUUGACUUUGGGAUAACUUCAGGAAACUGGGGCUAAUACCGGAUAGGAGCUCCUGCUGCAUGGUGGGGGUUGGAAAGUUUCGGCGGUUGGGGAUGGACUCGCGGCUUAUCAGCUUGUUGGUGGGGUAGUGGCUUACCAAGGCUUUGACGGGUAGCCGGCCUGAGAGGGUGACCGGCCACAUUGGGACUGAGAUACGGCCCAGACUCCUACGGGAGGCAGCAGUGGGGAAUAUUGCACAAUGGGCGGAAGCCUGAUGCAGCAACGCCGCGUGCGGGAUGGCGGCCUUCGGGUUGUAAACCGCUUUCGCCUGUGACGAAGCGUGAGUGACGGUAAUGGGUAAAGAAGCACCGGCUAACUACGUGCCAGCAGCCGCGGUGAUACGUAGGGUGCGAGCGUUGUCCGGAUUUAUUGGGCGUAAAGGGCUCGUAGGUGGUUGAUCGCGUCGGAAGUGUAAUCUUGGGGCUUAACCCUGAGCGUGCUUUCGAUACGGGUUGACUUGAGGAAGGUAGGGGAGAAUGGAAUUCCUGGUGGAGCGGUGGAAUGCGCAGAUAUCAGGAGGAACACCAGUGGCGAAGGCGGUUCUCUGGGCCUUUCCUGACGCUGAGGAGCGAAAGCGUGGGGAGCGAACAGGCUUAGAUACCCUGGUAGUCCACGCUGUAAACGGUGGGUACUAGGUGUGGGGUCCAUUCCACGGGUUCCGUGCCGUAGCUAACGCUUUAGGUACCCCGCCUGGGGAGUACGGCCGCAAGGCUAAAACUCAAAGGAAUUGACGGGGCCCCGCACAAGCGGCGGAGCAUGCGGAUUAAUUCGAUGCAACGCGUAGAACCUUACCUGGGUUUGACAUGGAUCGGGAGUGCUCAGAGAUGGGUGUGCCUCUUUUGGGGUCGGUUCACAGGUGGUGCAUGGCUGUCGUCAGCUCGUGUCGUGAGAUGUUGGGUUAAGUCCCGCAACGAGCGCAACCCUUGUUCACUGUUGCCAGCACGUUAUGGUGGGGACUCAGUGGAGACCGCCGGGGUCAACUCGGAGGAAGGUGGGGAUGACGUCAAGUCAUCAUGCCCCUUAUGUCCAGGGCUUCACGCAUGCUACAAUGGCUGGUACAGAGAGUGGCGAGCCUGUGAGGGUGAGCGAAUCUCGGAAAGCCGGUCUCAGUUCGGAUUGGGGUCUGCAACUCGACCUCAUGAAGUCGGAGUCGCUAGUAAUCGCAGAUCAGCAACGCUGCGGUGAAUACGUUCCCGGG